rnacentral:tRNA from 1 species
GCCCCUGUGGUGUAGUCCGGCCAAACUCUUUUUCGAGAAAUUGAAAGGAGGGCAAGUCAUUAUGGCCUUUCGAGCCAUGGACACGGGUUCGAAUCCCGUCGGGGGCA